rnacentral:rRNA from 1 species
AGCGGAGGAAAAGAAACUAACUAGGAUUGCCCCAGUAACGGCGAGUGAAGCGGCAACAGCCCACACUGAAAAUCGCUUCGGCGAGUUGUACAGUGCAGACGUGAACCUCGCACUUUGCGACCUUUGUAACUUCCUUGGAAUAGGAGACCGGAGAGGGUUAUAGUCCCGUAACAGAGGCUGCAAGGUGACAGGCCGCGUUUAAAGAGUCGGGUAGUUUGGGAUUGCUGCCCUAAGUGGGAGGUAGACUCCUCCUAAGGCUAAAUACUAGCGAGAGACCGAUAGUGGACAAGUACUGUGAAGGAAAGAUGAAAAGAACUUUGGAAAGAGAGUUAAAAGACUUGAAACCGCUAAGGAGGAAGCAGUCUGCCGAGCAUAGCCCCAGAAUGAGAAACAAGCGGUGCUCUGAGUGAGCUCGUAAAAUAAAUCAUCUGGAGUGCUCGGUAUACUGGCCCGUCUUGAAACACGGACCAAGGAGUCCAGCCUAUGUGCAAGUACAAAGAGGAUAACUCUAGAUGCGCAACGAAAGUAAUCUCUGUAGCAGCAGAGGCCGCGAUAGCGAGCUCAGCAGAUAGGCUGGGACCCGAAAGAUGGUGAACUAUGCUUGGGAAAGGCGAAGCCAGGGGAAACUCUGGUGGAGGCUUGUAGAGGUACUGACGUGCAAAUCGUUCUUCUGACCUGAGUAUAGGGGCGAAAGACUUAUCGAACCAUCUAGUAGCUGGUUCCCUCCGAAAUUUCCCUCAGGAUAGCAAGAGCAGAGCAGUUUUACCGGGUAAAGCGAAUGAUUAGAGGUUCGGGGGUUGAAAUGACCUUCACCUAUUCUCAAACUUUAAAUUGGUAAGAUGAGGCCGUUACUUAAGUGAACAGCUUCUUGAAUGCAUAGCUCUUAGUGGGCCAUUUUUGGUAAGCAGAACUGGCAACGAGGGGUCAACCUAAGGAAGGGUUGAGGCGACAAAUUGACUGCUUCUAGAUGGAAAGGUGUUGGUUCAUUUAGACAGUAGGACGGUGGCCAUGGAAGUCGGAAUCCGCUAAGGAGUGUGUAACAACUCACCUACCGAAUGGACUAGCCCUGAAAAUGGAUGUCGCUAAGCAGUUAGCCGAUACCCUUCGGUCGGGCUAGAGGAGGCCAGACCAGUAGGAGGGCGUGGGGAUAGCGCAGAAGUGCAAGUGUGAAGUUGCAUGGAGCUGUUCCUAGUGCAGAUCUUGGUGGUAGUAGCAGCUAUUCAAGCAAGACCCUUGAAGACUGAAGUGGAGAAGGGUUUCAUGAGAACAACAAUUGGUCAUGAGGUACUCGGUCCUAAGGCACUCAACGCCGAAAGGGAAAAAGGUUAAUAUUCCUUUAGCUAUCAAGAGGUCAAAUGGCAACAUAAACGAGCUCAGAAACGUCGGAGUGAAAUCCCAGGGAGAGUUCUCUUUUCUUCUUAACAAGUCGCUGCCCUGGAGGUUGUUAGAACGAGAGAGGGCUAUAGACUUGGCAGAGCAGUGCACCCUUUGCGCUGUCUGGUGCAUUUCCUUCGGCCCUUGAAAAUCUGAGGGAACGCUGAUCGCUGAUUGCAAG